rnacentral:rRNA from 1 species
AUUGAACGCUGGCGGCAGGCCUAACACAUGCAAGUCGAACGCGUGGCGGACGGGUGAGUAAUGUCUGGGAAACUGCCCCCUGGCGGGGGAUAACUACUUGAAACGGUAGCUAUUACCGCAUACCAUCGGAUGUGCCCCGAUGGGAUUAGCUAGUAGGUGGGGUAACGGCUCACCUAGGCGACGAUCCCUAGCUGGGCUGAGAGGAUGACCAGCGACACUGGAACUGAGACACGGUCCAGACUCCUACGGGAGGCAGAAGUGGGGAAUAUUGCACAAUGGGCGCAAGCCUGAUGCAGCCAUGCCGCGUGUAUGAAGAAGGCCGUCGGGUUGUAAAGUACUUUCAGCGGGGAGGCGUUACCCGCAGAAGAAGCACCGGCUAACUCCGUGCCAGCAGCCGCGGUAAUAC